UUGGUGUCCGGGGCUAUGGCCCUGGAUGAAAAGGGAACCGGGUGGGAAUCCCGGACAGACGGUGCUGCUGUGUGCCCCCUGAUAGAGCAAUCCCUGUACCUGGCCACUGUGAACGGCUCCCGAUAGCAAGGGACCGGCGCGGGAAGGACAGGUCACUAGAGAAUAGGGUAGGGGCGAGUCAGAAGACCUGCCAAGUCGCU
rnacentral:ncRNA from 1 species